GUCCACUGCAUCGAAAGAUUAAAUCAUUUUGAUUUUUCUGGAACACCAAACUUCUUUCAAACUGCAGAAUAACAGAGAUGCCUUUGUAAAGCAGAUCUACAAGUACAAUCCACUAAAAGAGGUCACCAGGAAACAUUCCUUACUAGCAAAAAACAACAUGGAUAAGACAAGCAUGAGGGAAGCAAAAGACAAUACUGGAAAGUAAG